rnacentral:rRNA from 1 species
CUUCUGAUGUUAGCGGCGGACGGGUGAGUAACACGUGGGUAACCUACCUAUAAGACUGGGAUAACUCCGGGAAACCGGGGGCUAAUACCGGAUAAUAUUUUGAACCGCAUGGUUCAAUAGUGAAAGACGGUUUCGGCUGUCACUUAUAGAUGGACCCGCGCCGUAUUAGCUAGUUGGUAAGGUAACGGCUUACCAAGGCGACGAUACGUAGCCGACCUGAGAGGGUGAUCGGCCACACUGGAACUGAGACACGGUCCAGACUCCUACGGGAGGCAGCAGCC